CACGUGGGAUCCUCCCGGACCGGGGCACGAACCCGCGUCCCCUGCCUCGGCAGGCGGACCCUCAACCACCGCGCCACCAGGGAAGCCCGAGAUAAGAAUUUUUUAACUUAAGAUAGUUGACCCACCUGGAUGAUAUUUAUUGUUCCUUGUUUUUUGAGGUUUCUGGGGUGUAAAUAUUCUCUAAUCCCCUUUCAUCAUUGUACUGAGAAGAAUAAUGUAACCUCAGGAUUUGGAAUGCUCCGUGUACUUUUGUUCAUGAGAUUUGCCUCUCACGCCUUACCAUUAAAUACCAUGUAGCAUGUUACCUAUAGUCCUUUUCGUUUCAGUCAAAGAGAAAUCAAACUAUUUCCACAGUGGCAUGAAUUCAUUUCAUUCUUCAGAAUGUACCCAGCACCAGCUAUGGAAUAAUACUUCCCUUCCCUCACAAUGAUUAUUUUCCAAGGCAAUACCACUUGGAUCUCAGCAUUUCAUUUUCUUUUCCAUCCCCAGCUUGGCCUCUAAGGAUUUUGAUUAUUCUCUACCUCACAUCUGAAGAAGAGACUCGGUGACUUGCUUCAAGUGGGAAGGCCAGAACCUUCCUUCACGCUCGGAACCGCAAGUUCCAAAGGAAUGUGGACCCACUGUGAAGGUUAAAGCUGACAUCUACUCCUUCAGGAAACCUUUUCCCAUGGAGGCAUCUCCUGCUAUCAUCCCUGGCCUACGGAAGGCAAGUACUUUUCAGGCAUGCUCAUGCUCUUCUCAUCAGUGGAUUUUUCUUCUGAAACUGGCUUGCAUGGUGACAGAGUUAUCCCUUGAGGGGAGUAGCAAACUCUGGGAAGUCUCCGGAAGAAAUAGCACAUUGAUGGGAAGGCAGAGAGGAAACUUCCCAUGACCUCUGGGAAUCCCAAAGCACACACAGGUGAGGCCCAGGAUCCAGAGGGCCCAUGAUGGUGUGACUGGAGGGGAGCCCUUUGGACCACACAGGACUUCUUCCAGCUGGAGCAAAGCAGCACGUAAAGCUCCCAAUUACCUUUCAGUCCAGUUGCUGUCUGUAAACUACGCUUGAAUUUAGUGUGAUGGAAGUUGGAGAAACGAGUGCCUCUCCAUCAAAGCGUGAAAGGCCGGUGGCGUUUUGCAUAAUCCUCGAGGGAACCGCUCCUCAGAUUUUGCAUCUGUCACUCUUGCCCUCCAGUGCCUUAGUUUGGGAUUCUGCCCUAGCAAAGAUCUAGUUACUGUUUUUAAUCAUUUUCAAACCCUGGUGUGGACUGUCUAGUCACCCACAGUUACUUUUUUUUUUCCUGGCACAUUUUUGUUUUAAGCAGAGUCCCUGUGAUGAUUUCAAAUUUGUCAAAAUAAUAAGAGAAAACCUGCUUGAUACCACUGACAAAGAAGACACUUUGAACAUCCCUUGGGGGAAAGGCUGAAAGCCCCAGAUUGUCUUACUCACUUAUAGUCAAAUGGAGAAACAGAGACUCUGAUCCCCUUGAGAGGUGAAGAGGAAAAGUCUUUGAUCUCCUGAAGAUGUGCUGUGUCCGGGAGAGGGGAAGAGGUGGCAU